AAGCACACUUCAUUAUCUCAUUCUCAGCCUUAUUGAGAUUUGAGAGAUUUUUUAUGUGCCAGAAUAAGAGUUGAAGGUUAAUUAGCAGCUUGGCUGAUUCAAGUGUACUACUGCUGCCAGUCUCCUUCAGACAAGG